UAAUACGUAGGGAGCAAGCGUUGUUCGGAUUUACUGGGCGUAAAGAGUGCGUAGGUGGCUAUAUAAGUCAAGGGUGAAAUCUCUACUUUCAAGGUAGAAACUGCCUUUGAUACUGUAUAGCUAGAGGACAAGAGGGGGAAAUGGAACUCUGGGAGUAGCGGUGAAAUGCGUAGAUAUUCAGAGGAACGCCAGUAGCGAAGGCGGUUUCCUGGCUUGUUUCUGACACUGAGGCACUAAAGCUAGGGGAGCGAUCGGGAUUGGAGACCCCGGUAGUCCUAGCCCUAAACGAUGGGUACUAAGUGUGGGGGGAGCAUUACCCUCUGUGCUGAAGCUAACGCGUUAAGUACCCCGCCUGGGGAGUACGGUCGCAAGGCUG
rnacentral:rRNA from 1 species